rnacentral:lncRNA from 10 species
UGUAGUUUGGCUGGAGUAGGGAGUUUGGCUGGAGUAGGCUAAGAGAAGCAGCUUUGGAACUUCUGAAGUCUGUACAUCUCUGUGGCCCCCAAGGAUUACUUGUUUUAAAUUUUGUUUUAAUAGUCUAAGUUUAUCAUGGGUCAACUUGAUUCUUUCAAGGCUUAUUUUUAAGCUUUUAAAAGGCUGGUUUAGCGGCUGCCUGGAGCGGAGCGCUGCGAGAGCUGCGCGGCGCGCCCAGGUUCCAGCCGGCUCCGCUCCGGGUCCCCCAGUGCUCGCUGGCUCCCCGCUUGAGCCAGCCCGCCCGCCCAGCGCUAGGGGCCAAGGAGCGAACCGCACCUGCGAUCCGAUUGUCCGGGGCACGCCGUAGAGGAUGGGAGGACCCAUGAGGCGCUAGCCUGCGAAGGUGGCGGUGCUGCUGCUCCGGCUGCUCUUGGAGUUGCAUGUACACGACGUGGCAGACUUUCCAAUGGGAGGAUUGUGGAUUCUGAUGACAUAGGAAACUUCAUCUUCCAGACAUUGCCACAGAAAGCACACAGACUUUGGAAACCAGCAGACCUGAAGUCAAAUGUCGACUUUCAGCUUGCUCCUGUGUCACCUUUGCUUUGGUACCAGGAUGAUGCGAGCCUCAAAAAAUGAGUGAGGGAGGAUUCCCUCUUUUUCUAUUGAUUGGAAU